GAAAGGGACGGCUAANUACGUGCCAGCAGCCGCGGUAAUACGUAGGUCCCGAGCGUUGUCCGGAUUUAUUGGGCGUAAAGCGAGCGCAGGCGGUUAGAUAAGUNUGAAGUUAAAGGCUGUGGCUUAACCAUAGUACGCUUUGGAAACUGUUUAACUUGAGUGCAGAAGGGGAGAGUGGAAUUCCAUGUGUAGCGGUGAAAUGCGUAGAUGUAUGGAGGAACACCGGUGGCGAAAGCGGCUCUCUGGUCUGUAACUGACGCUGAGGCUCGAAAGCGUGAGGAGCGAACAGGAUUAGAUACCCUGGUAGUCCACGCCGUAAACGAUGAGUGCUAGGUGUUAGGCCCUUUCCGGGGCUUAGUGCCGCAGCUAACGCAUUAAGCACUCCGCCUGGGGAGUACGACCGCAAGGUUGAAACUCAAAGGAAUUGACGGGGGCCCGCACAAGCGGUGGAGCAUGUGGUUUAAUUCGAAGCAACGCGAAGAACCUUACCAGGUCUUGACAUCCCGAUGCCCGCUCUAGAGAUAGAGUUUUACUUCGGUACAUCGGUGACAGGUGGUGCAUGGUUGUCGUCAGCUCGUGUCGUGAGAUGUUGGGUUAAGUCCCGCAACGAGCGCAACCCUUAUUGUUAGUUGCCAUCAUUCAGUUGGGCACUCUAGCGAGACUGCCGGUAAUAAACCGGAGGAAGGUGGGGAUGACGUCAAAUCAUCAUGCCCCUUAUGACCUGGGCUACACACGUGCUACAAUGGCUGGUACAACGAGUCGCAAGUCGGUGACGGCAAGCUAAUCUCUUAAAGCCAGUCUCAGUUCGGAUUGUAGGCUGCAACUCGCCUACAUGAAGUCGGAAUCGCUAGUAAUCGCGGAUCAGCACGCCGCGGUGAAUACGUUCCCGGGCCUUGUACACACCGCCCGUCACACCACGAGAGUUUGUAACACCCGAAGUCGGUGAGGUAACCUUUU
rnacentral:rRNA from 1 species